ACUACAUACCACUGCAUUAGAGCCAUUGUUCCAGGCCGGGGUGCUCAAAUUUCACCCUCAUGGCCAGUAGUAUGACUGGGUUUCUUUUCCACAUGAUAAUUAGUUGAUUGAUUGAUGUCACUGAUUGGCCUGAGAGUGUACUCAUCUGGGCCUAUACCAGUUCCUGAUAACAGGCAAAGAAACCAACCUCAGGGCUCGGUCUGAGUAUCCCUGAAUUACACAGUUCCGAUCUUGUUUUCCUAUUUCUCUGGAUUCAGCAGAUGAUCUUCACAGCCGUAACCAGCUGGAUGUCAUCCAUGUGUCAUCCUUCUAGCCAGAGGAAAGUGGAGGGCUUUUCCAGGUGAAUGCUGCACAAAUCAUGACAAGGCAAGUGGCAGGGGCUCUGGAGCUGAGAUCAAGACUACUAUCUCUGCAAUAAACACUCCUCGCCAGCCGCUUGUUGGAAAUCACCUACCAACGCACUGAUACCUCAGAGCACUGAGAAGAUUGCAGUGACAUCGCACAUGUGGAUGGAUUUCCAAGGUCGAACGCCCACAGUGGCUGAGGUUAAGGACAGAGAGGACCUUGGCUUCACUAGGGAUCUAUGGUAACAAAGUCUCUGGCUAUCAGACAGAUCGUAUUCAUGCCCUGGCUUCCUGACUACGUGGGCGAAGGGGAGUCAGGUUGCCUCGCUGAACCUGAAAAUAGCCACCACAUUAAAAUUCAACAUGUCAACAAGCCAUUUCCUGUCUGCGAAACCCUAGAUCCGGAGAUACGGAAUUCUUGGAGAGGUCAGGCGCUUCUGAGGGCAGCUGUCUCUUCACCCUGAAGAUCCUCCUGUCGACUCAACAUGAUCAAGUAUACACAGCAAAAUUCCGAGCAUUAAAUCAACUCAAACAGUGUUAAAUAAACUAACUGUAUUUACAUUUACAAGUCUGCUGGAGGCAAUCGGUACUCUUCGUAAAUUUAAAAGUACAGUACAGUAGAGAGUUUAUGUUACUCUAAACAUUUUACUAUGCACAAAUUACCUUUGCAACUCAAGAGACGUGGGCAAAGAAACUGAGGCUGUGUGAUCGUAUGAUUUAAUAAGGCAAACAUACAGACAAACAAAUGACUUAAAUGCUUAAAGUUUUACCCAGAAGACCAACAUAAUUUAUUUUCUUGUUUAUUUACAUUCCAGCCCAUCCCAGCAUUAUGUUACCAUACUCAAUUUCCCAGCUUUCUGUGGGCCAGAAAGUGUGCAAGGGCUGGUGUGUCGCUGGAUCUUAUACCUUGUUUACUGGUGAGGGUGAUCUGGCCCAGUUGCUUCAGGACCCUUCAUGCACUGACUGUCAAUCAUGACAGUUGACAGAUCUCUGUGUGGCAUAUAGACCAAUCAGAGUUUGAUAACAAAUUUCAAUUUGGAGUUAAUUUCAUUUCAAUUCAGGUGGUUCACAAAAUAAAAUCCUCUUUGAACAUGAUGAGCAUUUAAUUCAUGGAUUGAAUUUCAAUUCAUUUCAUGAACUGGCAGAACUGAAAUGAAAUUGAACCCAGAAUACCUUCUGGGUUUAAUUCUGUUGAACAGAUGAGUACAUGUUGAGAACAGACCAUUCAGCAUUCAAUCCAUCCAGGCUUGUCCUUUACCUGUACAGUCUAGAUUGUAUCCAGCACUGCGUCAAAGCCUGGACAAAGACCCACAGUUCCACUACAUGCCCUAACCAGCUUUUCAAGGCAUUGGCAACUCUCUGUGUUGUUCUACAGCCUAAAAUCUUACCACACACACACAUAAAUAAAUAAAUAAAUAAAUAAAUAAAUAAAUAAAUACAUUGAUAAAUAAAUAAAUAAAUACAUUGAUAAAUAAAUAAAUAAUAUAAAGGAACCUUUUUGCACAUCUUUUGCAAACCUUGGCAGAACAGGUUGUUCCAAGGAACAGGACAACACAGCCUGGGAUGAGUAGAAAAUUGCACAGCCUCAUUAUGGUGGUAUAAUUCUGUCCUCUUCCUGCACCCUUUUCUCCCCUGUGACGGAGACUGUGCCUGCCUCCCUUAAAGGCCCCUGCAGCCCCUUCCCUGUGUCCCUGCUGUCGGGAGAGCUUUGAGUCAUUAGGCUCGCAUUGUGUGUGCUGUGACAUCACUCACCGUGUGCGUGCAUUUGCGUGGAUAGAGCACGGCUCUGCAAAUGCUUGUUGGUCGAUGAUGCUGUCUUAAUAUAGAAUAUAGAUGAUGCUAGCAAUACCAAGGUAGAGGUGCCAGGAACACACUAUACUGUAUUUAGUCAGUAAUAUUCAAAUGUGUUUUCUUUAUUUUGUUACUUGGGCUAAAAAAAUGGAAGGAAUUUGGGCAAAUGUAAAUGAAGUGCAACUGCACUCUGUUAAACAGGUGCUGUCUUUAUAGUUUCUCAGAAAUAAAGUACAGGUGCCAGGUU